rnacentral:rRNA from 1 species
CCUACGGGGAGCAGCAGUGGGGGAUAUUGCACAAUGGGGGGAACCCUGAUGCAGCGACGCCGCGUGGGUGAAGAAGCGCCUCGGCGCGUAAAGCCCUGUCAGCAGGGAAGAAAAUGACGGUACCUGAAGAAGAAGCCCCGGCUAACUACGUGCCAGCAGCCGCGGUAAUACGUAGGGGGCAAGCGUUAUCCGGAUUUACUGGGUGGAAAGGGGGCGCAGACGGCGAUGCAAGCCAGGAGUGAAAGCCCGGGGCCAAACCCCGGGACUGCUCCUGUAACUGCGUGGCUGGAGUGCAGGAGGGGCAGGCGGAAUUCCUGGUGUAGCGGUGAAAUGCGUAGAUAUCAGGAGGAACACCGGUGGCGAAGGCGGCCUGCUGGACUGCAACUGACGUUGAGGCCCGAAAGCGUGGGGAGCAAACAGGAUUAGAUACCCCAGUAGUC